GGUCCAUGAAGACGGUCCACGUCAACAUCCUAAGAUCGACAGCAUCACUAGCCAUUUUAUUAAUAAAUGUUGGUGCUAGAUUCCCCAUUGGACGGAAUGGUGCACACAUUCCUAGUUGGAUUGUGCAAGUAUGAGAGUAUGCCACCGGUGUUAAAAAUUGGAAAAGAGAGUAAACAGGAUUGGUAUUAUACAGAUGCUGAUGCACUAAACUUCAAGGACUUUCUCUGAUGGUUUCAGUGACUAGAGCCAACCAUUCUUCCACUCUCCAUAUUCUGAUAACUGUUAUGCCUCAUAUUGUAUCAUAAACCUCCUGCUAGGCCGAUGGGAAAAUUCUAUAGGUCAUCGUAUUUGAUCGGUCCCAAGUUUGAUAUAGUUGGUCUUGGCUUGGUCUAUCUUUAACGGCUAUUCGACCUAUCCCGGCCGAUACUCUUUGCAUUGAGCCUAUGAGAUGUCUGGUACAUAUUAAGCCACUGCUUUGCUGCUCGAUUUAUUCUUUGGGUGGAACUCAAUAGUUUUAUAGCUUUGGCUUCUAAGCAUAGGGCUGAAAUUGGAUUGGAU
rnacentral:lncRNA from 1 species